rnacentral:rRNA from 1 species
CGAAAGAUUAGCUAAUACCGCAUACGACCUGAGGGUGAAAGUGGGGGACCGCAAGGCCUCACGCAGCAGGAGCGGCCGAUGUCUGAUUAGCUAGUUGGUGGGGUAAAGGCCCACCAAGGCGACGAUCAGUAGCUGGUCUGAGAGGACGAUCAGCCACACUGGGACUGAGACACGGCCCAGACUCCUACGGGAGGCAGCAGUGGGGAAUUUUGGACAAUGGGGGCAACCCUGAUCCAGCAAUGCCGCGUGUGUGAAGAAGGCCUUCGGGUUGUAAAGCACUUUUGUCCGGAAAGAAAUCGCGCUGGUUAAUACCUGGCGUGGAUGACGGUACCGGAAGAAUAAGCACCGGCUAACUA